rnacentral:rRNA from 1 species
CUCCUACUGGAGGCAGCAGUGAGGAAUAUUGGUCAAUGGACGAGAGUCUGAACCAGCCAAGUAGCGUGCAGGAUGACGGCCCUAUGGGUUGUAAACUGCUUUUAUAAGGGAAUAAAGUGAGUCUCGUGAGACUUUUUGCAUGUACCUUAUGAAUAAGGACCGGCUAAUUCCGUGCCAGCAGCCGCGGUAAUACGGAAGGUCCGGGCGUUAUCCGGAUUUAUUGGGUUUAAAGGGAGCGUAGGCCGGAGAUUAAGCGUGUUGUGAAAUGUAGAUGCUCAACAUCUGAACUGCAGCGCGAACUGGUUUCCUUGAGUACGCACAAAGUGGGCGGAAUUCGUGGUGUAGCGGUGAAAUGCUUAGAUAUCACGAAGAACUCCGAUUGCGAAGGCAGCUCACUGGAGCGCAACUGACGCUGAAGCUCGAAAGUGCGGGUAUCGAACAGGAUUAGAUACCCUGGUAGUCCGCACGGUAAACGAUGGAUGCCCGCUGUUGGUCUGAAUAGGUCAGCGGCCAAGCGAAAGCAUUAAGCAUCCCACCUGGGGAGUACGCCGGCAACGGUGAAACUCAAAGGAAUUGACGGGGGCCCGCACAAGCGGAGGAACAUGUGGUUUAAUUCGAUGAUACGCGAGGAACCUUACCCGGGCUUGAAUUGCAGAGGAAGGAUUUGGAGACAAUGACGCCCUUCGGGGCCUCUGUGAAGGUGCUGCAUGGUUGUCGUCAGCUCGUGCCGUGAGGUGUCGGCUUAAGUGCCAUAACGAGCGCAACCCCUCUCCUUAGUUGCCAUCAGGUUAAGCUGGGCACUCUGGGGACACUGCCACCGUAAGGUGUGAGGAAGGUGGGGAUGACGUCAAAUCAGCACGGCCCUUACGUCCGGGGCUACACACGUGUUACAAUGGCAGGUACAGAGAGACGGUCCCUUGCAAAAUGGAUCAAAUCCUUAAAGCCUGUCUCAGUUCGGACUGGGGUCUGCAACCCGACCCCACGAAGCUGGAUUCGCUAGUAAUCGCGCAUCAGCCAUGGCGCGGUGAAUACGUUCCCGGGCCUUGUACACACCGC